GACCGAACACACGCCUGUUGAAAUAGUCGGUGAUGACUUGUGGUUAGCGGAGAAAUUCCAAACGAAUUCGGAUAUAGCUGGUUCUCCUCGAAAUAGCUUUAGGGCUAGCCUCGCAUAUAAUCCUUGUCGGUAGAGCACUAAAUGGCCUAGGGGGCUUCACAGCCUACCGAAGCUUAUUAAACUCCGAAUGGCAAGGAAUUGAGUGCGGGAGUCAGACAGCGACAGCUAAGUGCCGUUGUCAAAAGGGAAACAGCCCAGAUCUACAGCUAAGGUCCCGAAGUACAGGUUAAGUGGAAAAGGAUGUGACAAUGCAUAGACAACCAGGAUGUUGGCUCAGAAGCAGCCACGCAUUAAAAGAGUGCGUAAUAGCUCACUGGUCGAGUGAUGUUGCGCCGAAAAUUAACGGGGCUCAAACCUGACACCGAAGCUUAGGAAUACGCGAAGCGUAUUGGUAGAGGAGCAAUGUAUACGAGCAGAAGCCGUACCGGAAGGAGCGGUGGAUUGUAUAGAAGAGAGAAUGCCGGCAUAAGUAGCGAGAGCGGAGCGAGAAACUCCGCCGUCGAAAGUCUGAGGUUUUCCGGGGAAGGUUCGUCCACCCGGAGUAAGUCGGGACCUAAGCGGAGGCCGAAAGGCGUACGUGAUGGACAACAGGUUGAUAAUCCUGUACUACCGAGAGAGUUAAUGAAGCAGUGACACGGAAAGAUAGAAGAAGCGCGCAGAUGGAAAAGCGCGUCCAAGCAGUGAGGGAGGCUUGUAGUAAAGUACGCAAGUCAUAAUCCUGGGCUGUGACGGGGAGUGGACCAAGGAAACGAAGUCUUUGAAUCUACGCCGGCGAGAAAAGCUGCUAAAUGUUUCGAGGUACCCGUACCGCAAACCGACACAGGUAGACGAGAAGAAAAUUCUAAGACGAACGGGAGAACCCUUGUUAAGGAACUCGGCAAAAUGACCCCGUAACUUCGGGAUAAGGGGUGCCUGCGAGAGCAGGCCGCAGAGAAUAGUCACAAGCGACUGUUUAGCAAAAACACAGGUAUCUGCGAAAGCGAGAGCUGACGUAUAGGUGCUGACACCUGCCCGGUGCUGGAAGGUUAAGGGAACAUGUUAGAGCAAUCGAAGCAUCGAACCGAAGCCCCAGUAAACGGCGGCCGUAACUAUAACGGUCCUAAGGUAGCGAAAUUCCUUGUCGGGUAAGUUCCGACCCGCACGAAUGGUGUAACGACUUGUGAGCUGUCUCAACAGGGGGCCCGGUGAAAUUGAAGUAUGGGUGAAGAUGCCCAUUACCCGCGACUGGACGGAGAGACCCCGUAGAGCUUUACUGCAGCCUGAUAUUGAGUUUCGGUAACUGAUGCACAGGAUAGGUGGGAGUCUGAGAGACAUGGGUUUCGGCUCAUGUGGAGACGGUGUUGGGAUACCACUCUUCGGUUACUGAAAUUCUAACAUAGCUCUGUGAAACCAGAGGAUGGACAGUGUCAGGUGGACAGUUUGACUGGGGCGGUCGCCUCCGAAAGAGUAACGGAGGCGCCCAAAGGUACCCUCAGAAUGGAUGGAAACCAUUCGAAGAGCGCAAAGGCAGAAGGGUGCCUGACUGCGAGAGUGACAACUCGAGCAGAGACGAAAGUCGGGCUUAGUGAUCCGGCGGUAUUGAGUGGAAAAGCCGUCGCUUAACGGAUAAAAGCUACCUCGGGGAUAACAGGCUGAUCUCCCCCAAGAGUCCACAUCGACGGGGAGGUUUGGCACCUCGAUGUCGGCUCAUCGCAUCCUGGGGCUGAAUUCGGUCCCAAGGGUUUGGCUGUUCGCCAAUUAAAGCGGUACGCGAGCUGGGUUCAGAACGUCGUGAGACAGUUCGGUCCCUAUCCGGCGUGGGCGUAGGAUAUUUGAGAGGAGCUGUCCUUAGUACGAGAGGACCGGGAUGGACUGACCUCUGGUGCACCAGUUGUUCUGCCAAGAGCAUGGCUGGGUAGCUAAGUCGGGAAGGGAUAAACGCUGAAAGCAUCUAAGCGUGAAGCCCCCCUCAAGAUGAGAUUUCCCAUAGCAUAAGCUAGUAAGACCCCUUGAAGAACACAAGGUUGAUAGGUCAGAGGUGGAAGUGCGGUAACGUAUGUAGCUGACUGAUACUAAUAGGUCGAGGGCUUGACCAA
rnacentral:rRNA from 1 species